UGAAAUUGUUGUUUUUAGGCGGAUUUGGUGACGGAGACAGAUAAGGAUUUGAAGAUUUCGUCUUUAAUCAUCUCAAGCAGCUUUUCCCAACCACAAGCUUAUUGGAGAAGAAACUACUUCUGCAUUCGGUGUGACAGAACAAACUUGGAUUGUUUAUCCUCUUGAUGGAACUUCUAAUUUUGUUUGCGGGUGCGACACCUCAGUUCUUGGUCUGAAACAUCGUUUCAACUUUGAAUUAACUAGAAGAUACAUUGAAGAAAUUUCAAAACCCAAUGAAAAAAGCAAAGUGAUG